rnacentral:rRNA from 1 species
AACGAACGCUGGCGGCAGGCUUAACACAUGCAAGUCGAGCGCCCCGCAAGGGGAGCGGCAGACGGGUGAGUAACGCGUGGGAACGUACCCUUCGCUACGGAUAGCUCCGGGAAACUGGAAUUAAUACCGUAUGUGCCCUACGGGGGAAAGAUUUAUCGGCAAAGGAUCGGCCCGCGUUGGAUUAGCUAGUUGGUGGGGUAAUGGCCUACCAAGGCGACGAUCCAUAGCUGGUCUGAGAGGAUGAUCAGCCACAUUGGGACUGAGACACGGCCCAAACUCCUACGGGAGGCAGCAGUGGGGAAUAUUGGACAAUGGGCGCAAGCCUGAUCCAGCCAUGCCGCGUGAGUGAUGAAGGCCUUAGGGUUGUAAAGCUCUUUCACCGGAGAAGAUAAUGACGGUAUCCGGAGAAGAAGCCCCGGCUAACUUCGUGCCAGCCGCCGCAGUAACAC